AGGACUCGCUUCCACCACUCCAUCUCUGGAAACCACUUCUUUGGUCCUGACUGCAUCCUCUCAGCCUGUGAAGCCGGGACUGAGUUCGCAUCUCCCUUGUCGCCCGGCCCAUUGAGGGGAGCCCCUGGCUCAACUCACCAGGGGAGCGUUCUGGGGUCUCUGCACAAAACCUGCUUUUGAGCUCUUUGGCUUCCUUCGAGCGAGUUGGAGCCCGUCCUUUCCCCUGGCCCACCCACCCGCAAGGGAUGCUGUGAAAAGAGCUGCUGCCCACCGCCUCCGGUCCGCUGUCCAGAGGGCUCCGCCCAUAGAGGUCAACUCCCCUCACUCUUCCUCUUUCCAGCUCGCCCUCCCUCCGCCGAGCCCAGACUCGGGUCUCCUGACUUUUGCCGCAGAGAGUGCACGUCUGCUGCGCUGCCCUUAACCUACGCCGGGAGCGGGCUCAGACCCGAUCUCUGCUCUCCAGGGCCAGAGGAAGCCCGAGCAAGCAGCCUUUUCUCCCCGCAGUAAAACCAUAGCCAGACCAGAUGCGCCCCAGCUCUCUCGGGACUCGGCAGGUGCUGUUGAGUUAAUUUUUCCGCCAUACAAAGAAGGAUGACCCAGCCCUCCCUGGGAUUCUGAUCUUUUCCCAAAAAUUCCCAACCAAAAUCAGGGUAUCAGAGGCAUAUUCGUGUGUUUGUCGGACAUACAAACACGCAUGUUUAUAUUCGAUUUUAUCUGCUAGAUUUCUUCUCUGACAGUAGGAGACUACUGACAAAGGUUUCUUCAGCGGAACACUCAUGGCGUGGUCUUUUAAGACUUUUCUUUCCUUACAAAUGUCUUAGGAAGGGAUUCAGGGCAAACCAACUCAGUUAAUUGCCUUUAGUAAAAUAACACGAUUAGGAAAUUAGAUCUGUACCAGAGGGGUAAUUAACUUCGAUCCACGUCAUCAUUUAAAAACUAGAUUAUAGACAUAUGUAUGGAUUUUAGGUGCGCUGCAAAUGGCAUGCAGAUGUAUGCAUAAGCAUACAGGCUCAUGCACCAUCUACUCUUCCACCACACAGACUAAUUAAGGGCAACUCUAGCAGAUGUGGCAGGAGGAAAGCUGAGCUGGGUGCACUGAGUUAAGACCCUGGGGGUAGGGACUUCAAGCUUGGAACUCCAGGGGAGGGUGAAGGGCAAAGAGGAAAGUGUGAUAGUUGCAAUGAGUCAGUUGCUUCUGGAUCAAGAUCAGAGACUCUGCCCUCCGUGUUCACAGCGGACCUUGAUUUAAUGUCAUACAAUUAAGGCACGCGGUGAAUGCCAAGAGCGGAGC
rnacentral:lncRNA from 1 species